AAACACACACUCUGCAUUAUAUACACACUCUUUGUAUAUAAUGCAGAGUGUGUAUAUAAUGCAGAGUGUGUGUUU